UACGUAGGGUGCGAGCGUUAUUCGGAAUUACUGGGCGUAAAGCGUGCGCAGGCGGUUGUGUAAGACAGACGUGAAAUCCCCGGGCUCAACCUGGGAACUGCGUUUGUGACUGCACGGCUAGAGUACGGCAGAGGGGGGUGGAAUUCCACGUGUAGCAGUGAAAUGCGUAGAGAUGUGGAGGAACACCGAUGGCGAAGGCAGCCCCCUGGGCCAGUACUGACGCUCAUGCACGAAAGCGUGGGGAGCAAACAGGAUUAGAUACCCUGGUAGUCCACGCCCUAAACGAUGUCAACUAGCUGUUGGUGGGGUUAAACCCAUUAGUAGCGUAGCUAACGCGUGAAGUUGACCGCCUGGGGAGUACGGCCGCAAGGUUAAA
rnacentral:rRNA from 1 species